GAAGGAGGGAGGGAAGGAGGGAGGGAAGGAGGGAGGGCGGGGGGCGGGGCGAGGGCGGCGCGGGGCGGGGGGGCGGGGCGAGGCGGGGGACCGGGGGGCGGGGCGGGGGCCAUCCCGCACCCCGGGAGCCCUGCGUACCCCACCCGAGUCUCCGCGUUCGCCCCGAUCCUCGGCCUUGCCUUCCCUGCCACCGCGGACCCUGAGAUCAGUUGGAAGCCGCUCAAUAGUUAGAUGGGCCCCGCGGGGAGUUGCACCUAGAGGGAGGCUCAGCCGGGGACCGGUCUGCUCUGCGACCCUUAUCGCUGCCCCGCUGCCCACCACUGCGAUUCUCGAUGCCCUGGCCCCACUCAC